rnacentral:piRNA from 1 species
UAACAGGUCAUGUGUACGCCAUACAG